UUUUUAAACAUGUUAGUUGCACCAUUAGGGUGCACAAGAAGCCACAUACUGAGCUGUAGCCGAGGUGAAAUUGCUGCUGGAGGCGCUCUGCGUCCCUCUUUUUUGAAAAUUGUGUAAAAAAUCUAUAUAAUUGAAUCAAUAUAAGAUAGAUCAGAAGACUGGCAUUCACCUACAGGAAUUGCUUGGACUCUACCCUGGAUGAUUUUUACAUUUAUUUGUUGUAUGAACUCUCUGAGCACGGGCUAUUAGUUCUUACAGCAUUCUGGUUUGGAUGUAACUGGUUUUGCAUGGAAAUUUAACUUCCCCAGAUAAACCAAAGCCUCCUGGAAAAUGAGACCAACCUUCAGCUAACCUGACUGAUUUGUGGACGAAGUCGAAUGUGGAAAAACAAGUACAUAAUUAAUUCAGUAGCAGAUAUGUAUUUUAUACCUUGCUUGUAUUUUUAACUGAUACAGUGGGACAUUUGUUCUUUGAAUGAGAUAAUGCCCUUUGAACUAAAUAUAAUGUAUUCUUGCCUAAAUCCAGAUUUUGAUUAUUGUAAAGGUCAUUUGCACAGUACAUCUGUGCACACCUGCAAAAGUGUAGGACAGAAACAAACUACUGAAGUUGAUGUAUUAACCAAUAAAAUGUAAAUCACUGUAGUUAAUGUAUAAACCAGAAGAAUGAAUUAAGACGUCCAGUUUUCUAUGGGAGGCUUCUUUGAUUGCAAGACUUAUAAAUUAUUGUGUAUUUGGCUUCUUCCCCAGAAAAAAAACUGAAUUGUUUCUCCCCGGUUCACUGCAUUAAAGCUUUAUGUUUUCCUUCCAGA